rnacentral:rRNA from 1 species
UACGAAGGGUGCAAGCGUUAAUCGGAAUUACUGGGCGUAAAGCGCGCGUAGGCGGUUUAGUAAGUGUGAUGUGAAAGCCCCGGGCUCAACCUGGGAACUGCAUCCCAUACUGCUAGGCUAGAGUACGGUAGAGGGGGGUAGAAUUCCACGUGUAGCGGUGAAAUGCGUAGAGAUGUGGAGGAAUACCAGUGGCGAAGGCGGCCCCCUGGAUCGAUACUGACGCUGAGGUGCGAAAGCGUGGGGAGCAAACAGG